rnacentral:miRNA from 1 species
AAAAGUGCUCACAAGUGCAGGUAG